GUGAAAUCAAGUUGGUAUAUCUUUUGAUUUAGCUGAGGUCAAAUCGACUUAUUCUUUCGCUCAACCAUGAUUGAGUCAGCAUGUUGUUCUAUCUGAUCAUAGUCGAGUCAGUAUGUUGUUCCGUCCGAUCGGAGUCGAGCUGGCAUAUUGAUCCUCUUAAGACUCAUUUCGAUUCAAAGAUCGGUAUUUUCCUGCUUUGGCCUUUUGGAGCUUGAGCCG
rnacentral:lncRNA from 1 species